CGGCAACAGCUCAAAUUUGAAAUCUGCCCGCAAGGGCCGAGUUGUAAUUUGUAGAGGGCGCUUUGGCGUUGGCAGCGGUCCAAGUUCCUUGGAACAGGACGUCACAGAGGGUGAGAAUCCCGUACGUGGUCGCUGGCCUACGCCGUGUAAAGCCCCUUCGAC
rnacentral:rRNA from 1 species